UAUACCGAUUACCUUAGACCUGAUUCGUUUUUAGGGUUUAUGAUUUUCAUUCCAAAAAAAACGUCGUCUUCUCUUCUCGUCACUCUCCUCUCUCCCCUCUCAAACCCAUCCUUUAGUUAAUCGAAGCUUCAAUCGCUCCAGACUCCAGUCAUCAUUCUGUUCAAUCCAAGCUUCAAUCGAAGGUUCAGUUUGCACUUCAAUCUCCAAGCUUCAAUCGAAGCUUCAGUCGGCACAUCAAUCUGUUCCAGAAAUUGAAAUUCACUUGUCUCCCUCGUCUCUAUGUCUCUCAAUCGACACUUCAGUCGACACUUCAAGGUGGACCAUAUCGCUCUGAUCAUCCAUAUUUAUGCUCUCCCUCGUCUUCCUCGUCUCUCUCAUCUUCAAGGAUCUACCGAAUUAACAUACGGUUGAUUAUCCAAGUCUCCAAUGCAUGAUGAUGAAACUGGUUAGCAGGUGAAUCGAUCCAAGAGCAGGUGCAGGUGCACUCUCAAGGAUGACAUUAUGCAGGUUGCUUGGAACACCAACAGACCAGUAGGUUACUUGGUGAGAUACAUAUUGAUAUUUAGAUAUUAGUUAAAUAUAUACUCAUCUUUACUUGAUUUUGGAUGGUUGACUAUUUUUUUGAUUUCAGUCAUCAUAUGGGUUUGUGCCUUUGCGGUUUGCUUUGAUUGGUGUUUCGUUGUCUUGCUAUUAUGACACUUAAUGGAAGGUAUUUGUACAUACAAAACCUCGAUUAUACUUUAUGUUCUAUUAUUUUUAUUAGUCAUUAUAAAAAUAUAUUCUAUUCUUGUUAUCAGUCAUUACAAAUUGGCUUUGACAACUUAUAAUUACAUGUUUGGGCGGCUUAUUAAAAGUUAACUAGGCAUAUGCGUGUACCUAGAAUGAAGAUACAGCAGGUUCGUUAAUAUGAUGUUAAUCUUUAAAUUAUUUGGUUUAUGAAUUGGUUUGUUAUCUGUUUUCUAGUGGACAGAUUCUAGUGUCUCACUAGUGAUGGUAUGUCAAAUUGGCAAUUGAUUUUUGUAUUAAAUCUAACAUUAGUUUAUCUUUUCAUCCAAGAAGUCAUGUCAGAAUAUCCAAUUUCUAUAUUUUUUUUUACUUUUCAAAUGAACCGUUCCAAUGUUCCAAUCUAUGAGAUAUUGUAAUCUCAACAAAAUGAUUUGUGAAUCACAUACUAAAUCUAAUCUUAUAUUCGUUCAGUUUGAAUUGAUUUAACUAACAAAUAGUCAAGCAUUUUUGAGGGUUUAUAUUAGUAUCUGAUUGAUAAAUCUAAUGUUAUAUUCGUUAACUUCUGAUGGUGUUCUUCUAUUUACCUUUACAGGAAUCUUAACAAUCACAUACUAAAUCUUAUGUUAUAUCCAUGCAGUAUACUGUUCUCGACAGAUGAGUCGACAAGAUCAAUGAAUCCAAUUCAAGGCUAUGAUGUUUUUGAUGUGUUGUUUUCAUGUGGUUGUUUUAUGUUUAUUGUUCGUAAUUUGUCAUUUUUGUCAUCUCUACUUAUUAAAUUUCACUUGAUGGCAAUUGUUUUCUAUGACGUUUUUUAAUUGUGAGAAGUGUUUUUAAAGUUUAAUAGGUGGUUAUGUAAAAGAUCAAGUUUUUAUAAUUGUUUUAUAUUCAUAACAUUUCUAAUU